GUAGGCUAAUUCGGCGCCCCUUCUUUUCCAGGUUUCCAAAUAAACGGUGGCCCAGAUUACGUUGAAGACCGAGAAAAGUACAUAAGCCACGUCUUCGACCGCUUGAUUCCUGCCGAUGAUGCCGAUCUGCAUUUACAUUGAAAUGGGAUAUAAUUUCUCUUUUUACCCAAUAUAUGGCACCCACUGCAGCUGGAACAAUCAGGGCGGUGGUGUAAUGGCCGAGCCACGCGAAGUACAUGGCCAACCUGAGAUAUGAUCCCAGCGGAAAUGCACUUUGGAAUAAUUGCUUGGCCCUCGACCAUUUUAAGCCCGGGUAAACUGUGAAGAUCCUGGGGUCCCGCUCUGAGCGUGUGAAGCAGAUGAAGAACGAGUGAUUGCCUCUCUUGGGUGGUGAAGAAUCGAGCCUCGUCGUCGCUACCUUCGAAACAGCUCGACUCGGAGCCUACGAAUUCCUUCAAUCCUCCGCCAAACUCUUGUCGCAGGGUCUUCGGGAAGAAGGUUAGAACAACAACUUACACGCUAAAGGGAGCUGUUAAGUAGAAGCCGUAACUGUCAGACGAGGCGUGAUGCCGCACGUGCACCACCAGGCCUGGAGUUCCGGCACGAAGUCGACCUAGCAGCCACAUCAGGGUCUCGUCGCUCGUUCCACUUGGGAACAUCACCACGACGUCGCAUUCCUGCCGAUAAGCAUUCGUAUUCUUCACCGAUAUCUUGAUCAUCAUCCACAAAUCUUUGUUAUAAAUUUGUGAAUUCACAUUUCUAUCUCUAGUUCCUUGAAUUUCUAUAUGUAUUCUUAUAUAUUUUGAAUAAUUAUUAGUAUUUAUUAUAGUUUAUAUAUAGUGGAAUUGUAAAGUUCUGGCACGAAGUUAAUCUAGCAGCCAUAUUUUAAUCAUCAUCCAUAAAUCUUUGUAUAAAUUUUUGAAUUCACAUUUCUAUCUCUAGUUCCUCGAAUUUCUAUAUAUAUUCCUAUGUAUUUUGAAUAAUUAUUAGUAUUUAUUAUAGUCUAUAUAUAAUGGAAUUGUAAAGUUCUGGAAUAAUUAAUCUAGCAGCUAUAUCAGGGUUCGAUAAUCAUUCAUAUUCUUGACCAAUAUUUAUUGAACAUUUAUCAAUCUGUAUAAAUUUGUGAAUUCACAUUUCUAUUUCUAGUUCCUCGAAUUCUUUUUUUUCGAAUAGUUAGUAAUAUUUAGUUUAUAUAUAUAAAUUCUAAUAUCUCGAAUUCCUAUAUAUUUCGAAUAAUUAUUAGUAUUUAGUAUAUAUAAUGGAAUUGUAAAGUUUUGGCACGAAGUUAAUCUAGCAGCUAUAUCAGGGUUCGAUAAUCAUUCGUAUUCUUGACCAAUAUUUUAAUCAUCAUCCAUAAAUCUUUGUAUAAAUUUAUUCACAUUUCUAUCUCUAGUUCCUCGAAUUUCUAUAUAUAUUCUUAUAUAUUUAAAUAAUAUUAGUAUUUAGUCUAUAUAUAUAUAUAUAUAUAUAUAUGGUAUUGUAAAGUUUUGGCACGAAGUAAUCUAGCAUCUACAUCAGGAUUUGAUAAUCAUUUGUAUUCUUGACCAAUAUUUUAAUCAUUAUCCAUAAAUCUUUGUAUAAAUUUGUUCACAUUUCUAUCUCGAAUUCUUUUUUUUCGAAUAAUUAAUAGUAUUUAGUUUAUAUAUAUAUUUUAAUUCCUCGAAUUCUUAUACAUAGUCCUAUAUAUUUCGAAUAAUUAUUAGUAUUUAGUUUAUAUAUAGUGAAAUUGUAAAGUUUUUUGGACAUCAUCACGACGUCGCAUUC
rnacentral:lncRNA from 1 species